AUGAACGCUAGCGACAGGCUUAACACAUGCAAGUCGAGGGGCAGCGGGGUGUAGCAAUACACCGCCGGCGACCGGCGCACGGGUGAGUAGCGCGUAUGCAACUUACCUAUCAGAGGGGGAUAACCCGGCGAAAGUCGGACUAAUACCGCAUGAAGCAGGGGCCCCGCAUGGGGAUAUUUGCUAAAGAUUCAUCGCUGAUAGAUAGGCAUGCGUUCCAUUAGGCAGUUGGCGGGGUAACGGCCCACCAAACCGACGAUGGAUAGGGGUUCUGAGAGGAAGGUCCCCCACAUUGGUACUGAGACACGGACCAAACUCCUACGGGAGGCAGCAGUGAGGAAUAUUGGUCAAUGGGCGUAAGCCUGAACCAGCCAAGUCGCGUGAGGGAUGAAGGUUCUAUGGAUCGUAAACCUCUUUUAUAAGGGAAUAAAGUGCGGGACGUGUCCCGUUUUGUAUGUACCUUAUGAAUAAGGAUCGGCUAACUCCGUGCCAGCAGCCGCGGUAAUACGGAGGAUCCGAGCGUUAUCCGGAUUUAUUGGGUUUAAAGGGUGCGUAGGCGGCCUUUUAAGUCAGCGGUGAAAGUCUGUGGCUCAACCAUAGAAUUGCCGUUGAAACUGGGAGGCUUGAGUAUGUUUGAGGCAGGCGGAAUGCGUGGUGUAGCGGUGAAAUGCAUAGAUAUCACGCAGAACCCCGAUUGCGAAGGCAGCCUGCCAAGCCAUGACUGACGCUGAUGCACGAAAGCGUGGGGAUCAAACAGGAUUAGAUACCCUGGUAGUCCACGCAGUAAACGAUGAUCACUAGCUGUUUGCGAUACAGUGUAAGCGGCACAGCGAAAGCGUUAAGUGAUCCACCUGGGGAGUACGCCGGCAACGGUGAAACUCAAAGGAAUUGACGGGGGCCCGCACAAGCGGAGGAACAUGUGGUUUAAUUCGAUGAUACGCGAGGAACCUUACCCGGGUUUGAACGCAUUCGGACCGAGGUGGAAACACCUUUUCUAGCAAUAGCCGUUUGCGAGGUGCUGCAUGGUUGUCGUCAGCUCGUGCCGUGAGGUGUCGGCUUAAGUGCCAUAACGAGCGCAACCCUUGCCACUAGUUACUAACAGGUAAAGCUGAGGACUCUGGUGGGACUGCCAGCGUAAGCUGCGAGGAAGGCGGGGAUGAUGUCAAAUCAGCACGGCCCUUACAUCCGGGGCGACACACGUGUUACAAUGGCGUGGACAAAGGGAAGCCACCUGGCGACAGGGAGCGAAUCCCCAAACCACGUCUCAGUUCGGAUCGGAGUCUGCAACCCGACUCCGUGAAGCUGGAUUCGCUAGUAAUCGCGCAUCAGCCAUGGCGCGGUGAAUACGUUCCCGGGCCUUGUACACACCGCCCGUCAAGCCAUGGGAGCCGGGGGUACCUGAAGUCCGUAACCGCGAGGAUCGGCCUAGGGUAAAACUGGUGACUGGGGCU
rnacentral:rRNA from 1 species